AACGUAGGACGCAAGCGUUAUCCGGAAUUACUGGGCGUAAAGCGCGUGUAGGCGGGUUGUUAAGUUCGGCGUGAAAGCUCCCGGCUAAACUGGGAGAGGUCGUCGGAUACUGGCAGUCUGGAGUACGGUAGAGGGAUGUGGAAUUCCGGGUGUAGUGGUGAAAUGCGUAGAGAUCCGGAGGAACACCAGUGGCGAAGGCGGCAUCCUGGACCGUAACUGACGCUGAGACGCGAAAGCAUGGGUAGCGAACGGG
rnacentral:rRNA from 1 species